AAAUCAUCAGUGCUUAUCUGCUCCUGCUGGACAUCUGGGAGAUAAGUCAGGAUGACCUGCUGGGUAAAAAACCCUACCAAAAAAUCUUCUAACUAGUUUUAGGUGUUGCUUUACUUGUAGCAUGCUUUUACAUGUAGUUUAGUAAGGCUGGCCUAUUACGCGCACCCAUGUGUUGUUUGGCUGUGUUCUUAACUGCGGUUUGAAUGGUUUUAAUUUUAUCUUCCUUGUUCGCUCAGUGAAACAGAUAAUAGGAGUCGGUAACACUUGAGAUGCACCGGUCUGUGGCUUCCUGGUGGGAAACAAGAUGAGUCACCCGUAACCAAAACCAGCAGCCACUCUGUCCCUGGAUUCAGAUUUGUUCCUCUCAGCCUAAUUGUUCAAAUACUUUCUCUGCUGGCUUCCUCCCCAGCACCGCAGCACAUCUUGCAGACUGCAAGGCACAGAGGAAAGAGGUGAUAGCAGUGGCAGCGUAUGCAAUAAGCCCAGAGAAGAGGCCCCACCAGUGAUGGAUUUGGGCAUGCAGAUCACGUGCUUCACCAGCUUGUGCAUCUCUGAUGACAACUAACAGCAAGACUGGGCCAAGGGAAAAACCAGCAGGAUGCCAAUGCAACCUAAUGGGUAUGAAAAGCCAGCAUCGUGGUAUUGUGAGUAUUGCUUUCACAGAAUUCUUAUUUAUUCAUUUAUUUCAUUAACAAGUCUCUUCAUACGCCCAAGCCCUCUCUGAGAUUCUCUUUAGAGUGAAACCUCUAUGCAGUUCCAAGAUCUCCCGUGAUGUAUAACUUUAUCAGGAGAUAAAUCUUAACACUCCUCUUAGACUCUCUCUCUUUAAAUUUUGGAAAUGCUGACAUUCUUCAGGCAUAUUUAAGUGGAGCUGUACUUCAUCCAGACACUGAACAGAACCUGGAAAUGAUAAUCGCGGUGAUUAAAAGGUAAAGGAAUUUAUAUAUCUGAGAAAUUGUUCCUUCUUUCAGGUGCCAGUAUGUUAGGUUUCAGCUUGUCUCUUCCAGGGAUAUCUCAGAUAGGAACAAGAGUACCAGGAGUACCGAGUGUUACCUUUGUCUCUUUUUCCUGGCAUAGAUCAAUACACACAUAGCACUUUCUGACCAUGUGUAUGAGUAUGCCUUUUUUUUUCUUACUGUCUUCCUUCUACAUAGCCAAAAUAUUGCAGAUUGCUGCUAUUAUACUUUUCUAUGACCUUCGAAGUGCGUAAAUCUUUGAGUCAAAAUUAUCUGGUAGUUUGGUUAAUCUCUGAAGAUGGUGUGUAUGGC
rnacentral:lncRNA from 1 species